CAGGUGGGCCGGAUCAUCGCUUUGACUGUAAGGUUAAAGAGGAAAGUCCGGGCUCCGCAGGGCGUGACGCCGGGUAACCCCCGGGCGCUGUAAGGCGACAGAAAGGGCCACAGAAAAUAACCGCCGGUUGGCUUGCUAACCGGUAAGGGUGAAAAGGUGAGGUAAGAGCUCACCGCUCUUCAGGCAACUGAAGGGGCAAAGGUAAACCUCGUCAGGAGCAAAAUCAAGCAGUAAUGGGGCGGCUCGUCCAUAACAUUACGGGUAGAUUGCGUCAGGGCUUUCGCAAGAAAGACCGUAGAUAGAUGAUGAUCUCUGCGGUGUAACCGUAGAACAGAACCCGGCUUAUAGGCCUGCCUGUUUU
rnacentral:RNase_P_RNA from 1 species